rnacentral:lncRNA from 10 species
CUCAAAGAUUAUGCCAUACAUGUCUAAGUAGGCAGGGCCGGUACAGUGAAACUGCGAAUGGCUCAUUAAAUCAGUUAUGGUUCUUUUGGUCGCUCGCUCCUCUCCUACUUGGAAAACUGUGGUAAUUCUAGAGCUAAUGCAUGCCGAAGGGUGCUGACCCCCUUCGCGGGGAAGAUGCCUGCAUUUAUCAGAUCAAAACCAACCCGGUCAGCCCCUCUCCGGCCCCUGCCUAGGGGUCGAGUGCCACCGGCUUUGGUGACUCUAGAUAGCCUCGGGCCAAUCGCAUGCCCCCCUGUGGCAGCAACGACCCAUUCGAACGUCUGCCCUAUCAACUUUCGAUGGUAGUCGCUGUGCCUACCAAGGUGACCACGGGUGAAGGAGAAUCAGGGUUCGAUUCUGGAGAGGGAGCCUGAGAAAUGGCUACCACAUUCAAGGAAGGCAGCAGGCAUGCAAAUUACCCACUCCUGACUCGAGGAGGUAGUGAUGAAACAUAACAAUACAGGACUCUUUCGAGGUCCUGUAAUUGGAAUGAGUCCACUUUAAAUCCUUUAACGAAGAUCCAUUGGAGGGCAAGUUUAGUGCCAGCAGCCGCGGUAAUUCCAGCUCCAAUAGCGUAUAUUAAAGUUGCUGCAGUUAAAAAGCUCCUAGUUGGAUCUUGGGAGCGGGCGGGCAGUCCGCCAUGAGGCGAGCCACUGCCCGUCCCCGCCCCUUGCCUCUUGGCGCCCCCUCGAUGCUCUUAGCUGAGUGUUCCGCGGCCCAAAGCGCCUAUGGUGAAAUAUGAAA